rnacentral:ncRNA from 1 species
AUGUUCCGUCCUUGGCUGGACGGCUAAGAGGGAAGCAGGUCAAAAUCCUGCGCGGUCCCGCCACUGUGAUUGGCAAGUCCUGUUCAGAUCGUUUGAUCAUCCACUGGAAAACCGGGAAGGAGAAUGCGGACGUUUGAGCCAUAAGCCAGGAGACCUGCAUAUAA